rnacentral:rRNA from 1 species
AUUGAACGCUGGCGGCAUGCCUUACACAUGCAAGUCGAACGGCAGCAUGAUCUAGCUUGCUCGAUUGAUGGCGAGUGGCGAACGGGUGAGUAAUACAUCGGAACGUGCCCUGUAGUGGGGGAUAACUAGUCGAAAGAUUAGCUAAUACCGCAUACGACCUGAGGGUGAAAGUGGGGGACCGCAAGGCCUCAUGCAAUAGGAGCGGCCGAUGUCUGAUUAGCUAGUUGGUGAGGUAAAGGCUCACCAAGGCGACGAUCAGUAGCUGGUCUGAGAGGACGAUCAGCCACACUGGGACUGAGACACGGCCCAGACUCCUACGGGAGGCAGCAGUGGGGAAUUUUGGACAAUGGGCGAAAGCCUGAUCCAGCAAUGCCGCGUGUGUGAAGAAGGCCUUCGGGUUGUAAAGCACUUUUGUCCGGAAAGAAAUGGCUCUGGUUAAUACCUGGGGUCGAUGACGGUACCGGAAGAAUAAGGACCGGCUAACUACGUG